CUUGGUGUCCCUUGUGUGUGGAGGAGAUGGGCCAAGCCAGGCUGAGCAGGGCAAAGUUCUUUGGCUGAGAAGAGGAGGAGGUGGCUUGACAAGAAGAAGCAUUUUCUGCCACCUCUUUGCAAGAGGCUGUGGUUUUAAGGAAAGCAAUUUCUUGCAGAAGCAGAACAAAGAGCUGAGACGUACUGGAUUAGAUGAUUUGGAUACACCAAAACAGAGGAAACCUGAGCAGGAAAAACUCUGGGGAAAGAGGUCUUUAAACAGCAAAACAAGCCCCCAAAAAAGAAGAAGAGAGGCGGGGGAUGGACAGAGAGGGAUGUGGACAACCAUACAGAAUAAGAAGACGCCACACGUGGAGGGAGGCGAAGCCACGGACUUCUAGAAGGAGAAGGGAGGAGACAGAUCAACAGCAUCCUUCUCCUUAUGGUGUCCACAGCAAAGAGCGAGCAGGUUCUUCCACAAAGCCUGUGGGACGUGCUGGGCUGCCGAGGCCAGGAGGAGACCCAUCCUCUCCCAACAGCUCUGGGCACACAUUUCUGAAGCUAACGAAGCUGACUGAGGUCUUGCUGACCCAGGGGAAACACAGACUCACGUCGUCGCAGCCCGAGGACCCGUACCAGUAUCGAACUGGAGUGAGCAAAAGUAGAACCAGGCCCGGUGGUUUCCAGGUAUGGAAACACAUAUGCCCCAGUCCUUACUUACAUCAGUUUAACGUUAACAAGGUGCCCCUGGCUUUGGCCAAGAAUAGUUCGUGACUUCCAGAAGCACAAGCAAGAGGCGAUGCCUAUGGCCUGCGUGUUCUUGGCACCAGCCUCCCCAUGCAGCCCAGGAGCAGAAACACGGGGAAUGCAGCUCCAGGCCCGGCACUGCCCCCAGGCCUCUCCUCCUCCUGCCCCGCUGCUGGGGGCUCCCCCCACCCCAAUGCUGCGCUGACAAGGCCUUGAGGGACAGCUCAGGAGCCCCUCGUGCUUCCACACAUGGCACCAUUUCCCCGCGAGCCUCGGCCUCGAGUGCCUGCCUGCACCCUGCCUCGCUGCCAGGUUAAAGAGCAAUCACCACGGACAGCGGGAGAGAAAUAUUUUACAGAUUUGUAAUUCAUUAAAGCGCUGGACAUGUUCCAAUGUGAGUCUACUGGAGGGUAGGAAAGGAGGGAGACAUGUUCAGACCGUGGUCUGAAGCACACCUGUACAGUUUGGGAGCGUUUCUCCUCAUUAAGACUGUGUUUUCUGGGAGUCUGGCCUGUGCCAAGCGACUCAAACACAUAAAUCCAUGGUAAUGCCCCUUCGCCUGCAUGAUUCAGGUUUGUGUCAUUUCAAGGUUUAACAGUAGAUUUUAAGAGGGUCAUUUCAACCAUGCCCUAUUAGGCAAAC
rnacentral:lncRNA from 1 species